UACGUAGGGAGCAAGCGUUGUUCGGAUUUACUGGGCGUAAAGGGCGCGUAGGCGGCAAUUCAAGUUACUUGUGAAAUCUCCGGGCUUAACUCGGAACGGUCAAGUGAUACUGCUUUGCUAGAGUGCGGAAGGGGCAAUCGGAAUUCUCGGUGUAGCGGUGAAAUGCGUAGAUAUCGAGAGGAACACCUGAGGUGAAGACGGGUUGCUGGGCCGACACUGACGCUGACAGCGCGAAAGCCAGGGGAGCAAACGGG
rnacentral:rRNA from 1 species